UAGGAGAUAAAUAAUUAUAGUUAGGGUAGUCAAAGCCACUCAAACAGGGGGAAGGUACUAGGAGGUAAAUAAUUAUAGUUAGGGUAGUCAAAGCCACACAAACAGGGGGAAGGUACUAGGAGGUAAAUAAUUAUAGUUAGGGCAGUCAAAACCACACAAACAGGGGGAAGGUACUAGGAGGUAAAUAGUUAUAGUUAGGGUAGUCAAAGCCACACAAACAGGGGGAAGGUACUAGGAGGUAAAUAAUUAUAGCUAGGGUAUUCAAAGCCACUCAAACAGGGGGAAGGUACUAGGAGGUAAAUAAUUAUAGUUAGGGUAGUCAAAGCCACACAAACAGGGGGAAGGUACUAGGAGGUAAACAAUUAUAGUUAGGGCAGUCAAAGCCACACAAACAGGGGAAAGGUACUAGGAGUUAAACAAUUAUAGUUAGGGCAGUCAAAGCCACUCAAACAGGGGGAAGGUACUUGGAGGUAAAUAGUUAUAGUUAGGGCAGCCAAAGCCACUCAAACAGGGGGAAGGUACUUGGAGGUAAAUAGUUAUAGUUAGGGCAGCCAAAGCCACUCAAACAGGGGGAAGGUACUUGGAGGUAAAUAGUUAUAGUUAGGGCAGCCAAAGCCACUCAAACAGGGGGAAGGUACUUGGAGGUAAAUAGUUAUAGUUAGG